GCAGGUAUGGCGGAACUGGCAGACGCGCUAGACUUAGGAUCUAGUGGAGCAAUCCAUGCAGGUUCAAUUCCUGUUACCUGCACCA
rnacentral:tRNA from 1 species